GACGAACGCUGGCGGCGUGCUUAACACAUGCAAGUCGAACGGAAAGGCCCUGCUUUUGUGGGGUGCUCGAGUGGCGAACGGGUGAGUAACACGUGCGUAACCUGCCCUUGACUUUGGGAUAACUUCAGGAAACUGGGGCUAAUACCGGAUAGGAGCUCCUGCUGCAUGGUGGGGGUUGGAAAGUUUCGGCGGUUGGGGAUGGACUCGCGGCUUAUCAGCUUGUUGGUGGGGUAGUGGCUUACUAAGGCUUUGACGGGUAGCCGGCCUGAGAGGGUGACCGGCCACAUUGGGACUGAGAUACGGCCCAGACUCCUACGGGAGGCAGCAGUGGGGAAUAUUGCACAAUGGGCGGAAGCCUGAUGCAGCAACGCCGCGUGCGGGAUGACGGCCUUCGGGUUGUAAACCGCUUUCGCCUGUGACGAAGCGUGAGUGACGGUAAUGGGUAAAGAAGCACCGGCUAACUACGUG
rnacentral:rRNA from 1 species